UACGGAGGGAGCUAGCGUUGUUCGGAAUUACUGGGCGUAAAGCGCGUGUAGGCGGACCACCAAGUCGGACGUGAAAGCCCUGAGCUCAACUCAGGAACUGCAUCCGAAACUGGCGGUCUGGAGUAGUGGAGAGGAAAGCAGAAUUCCUGGUGUAGAGGUGAAAUUCGUAGAUAUCAGGAGGAACACCGGUGGCGAAGGCGGCUUUCUGGACACUUACUGACGCUGAGACGCGAAAGCGUGGGGGAGCAAACAGG
rnacentral:rRNA from 1 species